rnacentral:RNase_P_RNA from 1 species
AUGGUCGCGGCUGUCAGUCCGUUUGGACGCCCGAAAGGGGACAGGUGAGGAAAGUCCGGGCUUCACAGGGCAGGAUGCCGGAUAACGUCCGGUGGAGGUGACUCCAAGGAUAGUGCAACAGAAAUAUACCGCCGGCUUUACGCCGGUAAGGGUGGAAGGGCAGCUUAAGAGACUACCGCCCGCAUGGUAACAUGCGGGGCAUAUGUAAACCCCAUCCGAAGCAAGACCGAAUAGAAAGCGACAGGUUUGCCCGACCUGCUUUCAGGUGGGUCGCUUGAGCCUGCCGGCAACGGCAGGACUAGAUAGAUGACCAUUCACGACAUAACCCGGCUUAUCGUUUUGCUU